GAUGAACGCUGGCGGCGUGCCUAAUACAUGCAAGUCGAGCGAACGGACGAGAAGCUUGCUUCUCUGAUGUUAGCGGCGGACGGGUGAGUAACACGUGGAUAACCUACCUAUAAGACUGGGAUAACUUCGGGAAACCGGAGCUAAUACCGGAUAAUAUUUUGAACCGCAUGAUUCAAAAGUGAAAGACGGUCUUGCUGUCACUUAUAGAUGGAUCCGCGCUGCAUUAGCUAGUUGGUAAGGUAACGGCUUACCAAGGCAACGAUGCAUAGCCGACCUGAGAGGGUGAUCGGCCACACUGGAACUGAGACACGGUCCAGACUCCUACGGGAGGCAGCAGUAGGGAAUCUUCCGCAAUGGGCGAAAGCCUGACGGAGCAACGCCGCGUGAGUGAUGAAGGUCUUCGGAUCGUAAAACUCUGUUAUUAGGGAAGAACAUAUGUGUAAGUAACUGUGCACACCUUGACGGUACCUAAUCAGAAAGCCACGGCUAACUACGUG
rnacentral:rRNA from 1 species